rnacentral:tRNA from 1 species
GAAAAUGAAGUAUUAUUACAUCUCAGUUACAUUGAGAAGAUCCAUUUAUCUAAUGGCGUUUUUA